GGAAGACGCAGUGAACUGAAACAUCUAAGUAGCUGCAGGAAGAGAAAGAAAGAUCGAUUUCCUUAGUAGCGGCGAGCGAAGAGGAAAGAGCCCAAACCAAGUGAUUUAUCAUUUGGGGUUGUAGGACUGCGACGUGGCAGUGUAAGAGAUAGUUGAAUUAUCUGGGAAGGUAAGCCAGAGAGGGUGAGAGCCCCGUAAGCGAAAUCUCAAGCACGCCUAGCAGAAUCCUGAGUAGGCCGGGACACGAGGAAUCCCGGUUGAAACCGCGAGGACCAUCUCGCAAGGCUAAAUACUAGUUAGUGACCGAUAGUGAACCAGUACCGUGAGGGAAAGGUGAAAAGAACCCCGGAAGGGGAGUGAAAAAGAACCUGAAACCGUGUGUCUACAAGUAGUCAAAGCACAUUAAAGUGCAAUGGCGUGCCUUUUGUAGAAUGAACCGGCGAGUUACGUUAUCUAGCGAGGUUAAGUCAGAAAAGACGGAGCCGGAGCGAAAGCGAGUCUUAAUAGGGCGAAAAGUUAGGUGACGUAGACCCGAAACCAAGUGACCUACCCAUGACCAGGCUGAAGGUGUGGUAAAACGCACUGGAGGGCCGAACCCACGUAAGUUAAAAAUUGCGGGGAUGAGUUGUGGGUAGCGGUGAAAUUCCAAACGAACUUGGAGAUAGCUGGUUCUCUCCGAAAUAGCUUUAGGGCUAGCCUCGUGGAGAGGAUAAUGGAGGUAGAGCUCUGUUUGGACUAGGGGCCCGUCAGGGGUUACUGAAUCCAGAUAAACUACGAAUUCCAGAUAUCCAUACACGGGAGUCAGACUGCGAGUGAUAAGAUCCGUAGUCGAAAGGGAAACAGCCCAGAUCACCAGUUAAGGUCCCCAAAUCUAUGCUAAGUGGAAAAGGAUGUGGAGUUGCGUAGACAACUAGGACGUUGGCUCAGAAGCAGCCAUCAUUCAAAGAGUGCGUAAUAGCUCACUAGUCGAGUGGCGCUGCGCCGAAAAUUUACCGGGGCUAAGCAUAGUACCGAAACUGUGGAUGUGUUUUAAAGAGCACGUGGUAGGAGAGCGUUCUAAGAGCGGAGAAGUUGAAUCGAGAGGAUCAAUGGAGCGCUUAGAAGUGAGAAUGCCGGUAUGAGUAGCGAAAGAUAGGUGAGAAUCCUAUCCGCCGAAAGACUAAGGUUUCCUGGGGCAGGCUCGUCCGCCCAGGGUAAGUCGGGACCUAAGGCAAGGCCGAGAGGCGUAGUCGAUGGAUAACAGGUAGAGAUUCCUGUACUGUGUCAAAUCGUUAAGAGCGAAGGAGGGACGCAGGAGGUGAAGCACGCAUCGCGAUGGAACGAUGUUCAAGCAACAAGUGCGGUUAAGAGUCAAAUGCUUCUAACCAGCAACACGAGUUGUGAAGAGGAGUGAAUUAAAAGUAGCGAAGGUGUGGUAAUCACACUGCCAAGAAAAGCUUCUAGCCAGAGAUGACAUACCCGUACCGCAAACCGACACAGGUAGUCGAGUGGAGAACACUAAGGUGAGCGAGAGAACUCUCGUUAAGGAACUCGGCAAAAUGACCCCGUAACUUCGGGAGAAGGGGUGCUGAUCUCCGGAUCAGCCGCAGUGAAUAGGCCCAAACAACUGUUUAUCAAAAACACAGGUAUCUGCAAAAUCGUAAGAUGACGUAUAGGUGCUGACACCUGCCCGGUGCUGGAAGGUUAAGAGGAGAGCUUAGCGUAAGCGAAGGUUUGAAUUGAAGCCCCAGUAAACGGCGGCCGUAACUAUAACGGUCCUAAGGUAGCGAAAUUCCUUGUCGGGUAAGUUCCGACCUGCACGAAAGGUGUAAUGAUUUGGGCACUGUCUCAACGAGAGACUCGGUGAAAUUAUAAUACCCGUGAAGAUGCGGGUUACCCGCGACAGGACGGAAAGACCCCAUGGAGCUUCACUGUAGCUUGAUAUUGAGUAUCUUUUAAACAUGUACAGGAUAGGUAGGAGCCAGAGAAGAUAGGACGCUAGUCUUAUUGGAGGCAAUGUUGGGAUACUACCCUUGUUUGAAGGAUGCUCUAACCUCGACCUGUAAGCCAGGCCAGGGACAGUGUCAGGUGGGCAGUUUGACUGGGGCGGUCGCCUCCUAAAGUGUAACGGAGGCGCUCAAAGGUUCCCUCAGAAUGGUUGGAAAUCAUUCGCAGAGUGUAAAGGUAUAAGGGAGCUUGACUGCGAGAGAGACAACUCGAGCAGGUAGGAAACUAGGACUUAGUGAUCUGGUGGUACCGUAUGGAAGGGCCAUCACUCAACGGAUAAAAGCUACCCUGGGGAUAACAGGCUUAUCUCCCCCAAGAGUUCACAUCGACGGGGAGGUUUGGCACCUCGAUGUCGGCUCGUCGCAUCCUGGGGCUGAAGUCGGUCCCAAGGGUUGGGCUGUUCGCCCAUUAAAGCGGCACGCGAGCUGGGUUCAGAACGUCGUGAGACAGUUCGGUCCCUAUCCGUCGUGGGCGUAGGAAAUUUGAGAGGAGCUGUCCUUAGUACGAGAGGACCGGGAUGGACAUACCGCUGGUGUACCAGUUGUCUUGCCAAAGGCACCGCUGGGUAGCUAUGUAUGGAAGGGAUAAGCGCUGAAAGCAUCUAAGUGCGAAGCCCCCCUCAAGAUGAGAUUUC
rnacentral:rRNA from 1 species